GUAGUCGUCGGCGGGCCAGUGGCUAGGAAACGCCUCUCUAGCCACGGAGCCGCUUUUUCUCUAUGCUUAUAGCCUCCGCCGGCCGCCUUCCGAGUCCACCGCUCUUUGAAACCGAGGUCUGUCCUACAGCGCCACCUGGAGACUUAGGCCCAGUUCUUGGUGCUGUGUCAGUGCCGGCAUCGACAAACGGAGGUCCCACCGAGACCGGGAAAGAGAAGGUUUUCUGACAGGUCGUCCCGGGAAGCCGGCCAGCAAAGAAGGAGGGACGUAUUGGGGUAAGAUGGACUAGAAAAGGCCUCGGUGAUUUGGGCUAGCAUGAGUAAAACUUGUUUAAAAAAAAAGGUGGGGGGUGGAGGGACAAGGUAAUGGUAAAGUAUUUUUGCGUAUGUGUUCUUUUAGAGUUAUAUUUUAGUCUUUGGACCCUGACUAGAGAUAGUUUACACCCUAGACAUGAAAGAGAAUGGGUUUGAGAAAAACAGUUUUCCCAGACUCUCCACAGAUGCUUUGGAGAAAGAGAAGGAAAAUGAGCUUAAACUUUUUCAGAGCUCUCCUAGGGACAGAAGGAAGGCAGGAGACGUCCUGCCUCUUUGCUGGCUCCUAUUGGAGAAAUGCUUAUUUCUGGUUCUGGGUUCCAUAGGUAGUAUAUCUGUGUCCCUUAGGUGGGACACCAUCUAGUUCUUUCCCUCUAUGUCUAUUGUCUGUCCUUGGUGCACCAAGCUAUCCAUGUUUGUCAGUUUAUGUCUGUGGUUUUUGUUUAUGGUUGCUUAAAUGUUUUAUGUUUCAUGUUCAAAAUAAAAAAUGGUAAAAACUUUAUCUGCUGGUCAAUCACGACUUAAUUUGGUUUUAACUCAUUUCAAAAAAGGAGCAAAUAAAAAAAAAAUUUCAAUCGGCCUUUGGAGCCCUGCACCUGUAGCUAGGAGUCUAGGUCAGCUGGAGAAGCUCCCAGGGGCUGAGCCUCUACACGAGCUGAUCUUAAAGGUGCCAGCAGCUCCUCAGCUUCUAUGGUAAGGGAGCUGAUGGCUGUUUCUCUUAGAAAAAUCCAUGACUUAUUACUGGAUUUAGCAGGUGACAAGAUGCUUCUCUUAAAAUUACAGCUAGAAAAAGUAAAAAUGGUGUUUGGUCUAAAUAUUAAAGAUAUGUGUAGCCACUUCAUUUUUGUUCCUGAUUGGUUUUAAAUGUAUAAAUGUGCUCUAUAUGCCCUGGUUAUAGACUAUUGGCUUUUGGCAUUUUUUUUUUUUUGGUUCUUUUUUUCGGAGCUGGGGACCGAACCCAGGGCCUUGCGCUUCCUAGGUAAGCGCUCUACCACUGAGCUAAAUCCCCAGCCCCGACUAUUGGCUUUUAAGUUAUUGGGUAUGGUUAAAAAAAAUUGUAACAUUGGUAACAGAAAGUUGACUUAAAACUGGUAAUUUGGAUAGAGUCAUUGUAGACAAUGUGUGGCAUGAGCCAACCCAGGGAAAUAGGUCUAAAUUAGGAUAAUAUUUUUAUGGAAUUUUAUCCUAGAAACCAGGCAAUGUCUCUUUGUUGAGGUAUUGAAGACCACACCAUCAUGCAUUUAUAUGCAGGAAUUGGCAGUCAAACUUCACAACAUGAGGGAAAGACUUGGUGUUUUGAAGAAACUGGAUUUUGGAGACUAGAUUGUUUAGAGGUUGAAUUUUGCUUUCCAAAGUUGUGGUUGUGCUCUAGUGUUGCAAGGAGAACUUAUAGAUUGUGGUUAAAGAUUGCCAGUGUUACAUUGGCUAACUCACACAAAUUUGUAAUUAAGAAAAAAUCAAACAGAUAGAGAUUUUUAUGGAACUUGUGAGAGCAUUACAGCCUGUUUGCUUACUCCAACUGCCAUUUCAAGAUAGAUUUAGAGAUUUGUUUUUAUGCCAUUCUUUACAUUCUGGCGAUUGUGAAAGGUUUUCAUUUAGUGAGCUUGCUUAUAAUUUUAGAGAGGCCAUGAAAUGUUAUCAUUAAAAGGUUUUACAAAGGAAUGGCUAAUAGCCCUAUAUUAUGUAAUUUUGUCACUGCUUCAAUGUUAGAAGUUAGGACUUUGAAUCUUUCAGUGUAUAUGGAAAUUUUUACUACAAACCUUUACUCUCACAUGAGCUUUAAUAUUUGGGGAGUAGCUGUUGCUCCAGAAAAGAUUCAGUAUUGCUUUUCAAUAUUUGGAAUUAUUUUUAAAGCUUCUAAAGAUAUAUUAAUUGGCUAAGCCUCACCUUAAGCUUACCAUGGAGGACUUAAGACUUUGAUAUCCUCAAGGCAGAUGCAAAUCCUAAUUCCUCUAGACAAUUAACUGAUGAGGGAAGAAUAGCUUUGCAGAAAACAGAGAAAGCUAUGUGUCAACAACAGAUACAUUAAUUAUAUAGACUCUGAUCAAUUGUUGGUUGUUUGUACCUACAGUAGUCCAUUGGCAAAAGGGACCAUUAAUGUGGACUCACUUUUCUUCUUCAAGUAAAAGUUUUAAUGCCCUGUUAUGAAGCUGUUGUUGUGUUAAUACAGAAUUGUAGGAUAGAGUCAUGGAAGUAUUUUAAAAAGGAACCUGGUGAAACAUACCUUAUUCCAAACAGCAAUUAAAUUGGUUAUUACAAAAUACUGAUAUUUGACCUAUUACAUAUACAAUUUUUCAGGCAAAAUUGAUAAUUUUACUCUAUGCAUGCUUUUGUAUAUCCUGUAAAUUUGUGCAUGCAGCCCAUAGAAAAUACACUUACUGUAUUUAUAGAUGGUUCAUCUAAUGAGAAGGCAACAUAUAUAAUUGGAUUAGAUGUUUAUUCUCUUGAGUUUCCCCCUGCUUCAGCACAGAUUAUUGAAUUACGUGCUGUAGCCGCUGUUUUUUAAAUGUUGAAAAAUCAAGCUUUCAAUUCUUAUGCUGAUAGCCAAUGUGUGACUUAUGGUUUGCAUUAAUUUUUUUCCCUUUUUAGAUAUUGCUAGCCCUCAAAUUUUUACAGUUACUUAUGCUAUACAACUGAUUGGAGGCAAGUUUUCUGCAUGAAAUCAGUGAGUGAUGAUUUCAGUGUAAAUGUCUGACCACUCCCUGUCCUUUUAGAGCUCUGGCUCAGGAAACUGACUAAACAAAACCAUAGACUCAUACCUAACUUUUUGGAAAUAGUAAUGAAGUUGAUAGAACACCUUCACGAAAAGAGGAAGACUCCAUUUGCCCACUCUCAACUCCGGCCUCGCCCUGCCAGCUCAGGUAUUUCUAAGUAAGGCUGAACCUAGACAAUAUUUACAGGGCUUGGCAUUUCUAAUUAAUGUUUAAUGUUUAGGUAAAUAAAGCUUGUAUAGGAUUGUAGAUAUGGUUCAGAGGUUAAGAGAACUAAUCACUCUUCCAGAGAAUGUACUGUUCCUUUAUAGGCCAUUUAAGAACUCAGACUAGAUUGCCUAGACCCCUUAGUGAGGGAAGGCAAUGUUACCAGGCAGAUUAUAGGCCUUACAUAGGAACAAUUAGUCAAACAAUCUCAUUCUUUAUAUCACCAGAACAAUAAUGCUGGAGACAAUAAUUUGGUAUGGAAGUCAAAUUAUAAAUACAAGUCCUCAGUGUCCUCAGUUUCUUCCUGUAUCACAUAAUAGUGUUAAUCCUCGAGGACUUAUAAACAAUAUCUUAAUAAAUAAAAAGGGGGAGUUAUAUCCCUGUAUGCCAUACAAUUAUUUAAAUAAUGCUCUUUUUAUUUUAAAUUUUAAAAUUUAGAUGCCAAGGAACUCUCUGAGUGUUUAUGGCACCCUAUAAGUAGACAUGCUUAUGCCUAGGUGACAUGGAAGGAUCCACAUAUUGGCACAUGACAUGAUCCAGUUCAGGUAUUUUAUAUGGGGAAGAGGGAAUGUUUGUGUUUCUUCUACAGGAUGCUACAGGAGUGUGCCAGCUGCCAGAGUGGCUGGUGAGACAUGCUGAUGCUGGAAACAUAAAGAUUCCAGCUCUUGUGGUUCAGGCCCCUGGAGUCAUUCCUGUGCCCUUGGAGGAAGACGGAGGAUUCCCCCUCGUUUUGUGUUGUCACGGAAAUUAUAUUGCUGCAGUCAUUGUUACUGCCACUGCAUGUCCCGUCCAACCAUGGUCUGCACUCCCACCCUCUAUGCACCGCUGCAUACUUGUGGAGAAGACCAGACUCUAGACAUUACCCCUGCCCCUCCUCAGUCCCCCAGCGGCUGUUGCUGCCGUGACUGGUGUUGUCAUUUCACAGUCUGUGGCUUUGCAGGACUGCCAUCUGCGUGAAGCUGCUGGAGACUGGGGAACUCUGCCCUGGUUGUGCAGAUCUUAGGCAUGGCUCCAUUGCCUGCGAGUUGUUCCAGAGAAGGAUGGCCAAUCCUGAACUGUCAUGGGAAAGACUUUGGCAUCUUCGCUGCUAUUGUAACCGCCGUUGCUGCUGCAGCCACUGUGUCUGCAGUGUCUGGAAUUGCCCUCCCCCAAUCUGAUGUUAAGGCAAGCACAGUGGAUAAACUUUCUGGAGUAGUUGCUGACAAUUGAGAAUUCUAAAUUUAAAUCAACAGGAACAGCUUGACAAUGGCCCAAGGUGUUAUGGCCCUCCAUGUCUUGGCCCUAGGGCACCGAAGUAGUUGGCUUUGUGCUUCUCUUCACAUGCGCAAACAGCACUCCCAGUCCUGGGCAUCAACUAAGCAGGUGUUGCUCUCCUUGGUAGGAGGCAAACCCUCUGCCCAAAUCGGGCUCAGCCUUUACGAGAAGCAGUUAACCAAAGGGUCAACUUGGUCAACUCUUUGGGACCAAGCCUCACCUAAGACAGGAAAUUCUGAGACUGGCAGAGUUUUUCCAGAGACGGGAAAGAGGUUGCCACCCCAAAAUGUCCUAAGACAGGCGCUGCUUAAUAAAAUAUAAAAAAGGGGGAUUUGUCGGACACUCCUGGGUCCCCUGCAGUUUUUGACCUCUGCUGAGCCCUGCUGAUGCAAGUAGAAACCUUUUGUUCCUAACAAAGGAACGCCCUGGCCUGGUAGCCACAUGCCUGGGCGUACACCUGGGCCAUUCAUUCCUGUCUUUUGUUCUCAGUCUUUGUUCCUGGGACUCAGGCUGGUCUUCCUGGAUCUCUCCCAGUAAAUUUGAGGCAUGUGUUUGGUCUUUUGUGCCUGAAGCCUUAAGCCGGGUUUUCCCACUGUGCUUCCUGGAAUUUUCCACCUGGUGAACUUGGGGUAUAUAUUCGGUGAAUAAAGCUACAGAUUUGGAAUUCUCUUUUAACACGAA